CGGCGGAGUAAUAUAUGGAGAGCUUCGGUUACAGUACAUUAUCAGCUAAUAUUGUCACUCAUUAAUCUCCUCUCAGCCAAUCACAUUGCAGGGCCGGAACUAACUGUGGUAUAAUUAACAUUACUAAAUUGUAAUGCUUAAGAACGUUGUAAAUAAUAAUGAAUAAUGAGACAAUAAUCAGUUUAAAACUGUAAUGAUUAUCUAGAAAGGGAAAGUGAACAUGAACGAACUUAAAUUGGUUCGGGAAAAGCUGUUUCUGUCUGAUGAAUGUGAAGAGGGGUUUCUAUGCUGUUGACUUUUGGCUAAAUGCAAAAGUCCAAAAAUGUUUGGCUAUAUUUUGGCUAAAACAGUGGUUGCUAAUGUGUUGUUAGGUGGUUGCUAAGAUGUUGCUGAUUGUUGUUGAGGUGUUGCUAGGAAGCUGCUAAGGUAUUACAGGUGGUUGCUACGGUGUUAAUAACUGGUUGCUAAGCAGUUUCUAUCAAACCUGAUAUUGCUGAUAAGUUGUUGCUAGGCAGUUGCUAAGGUGUUCUAGAUGGUUGUUAGGAUGUUGUUAAGUACACUCAGGGUUGCCAGGUAUAGACAGCAGCACGCAAACAGUGCGCAGCAGCUAUGGAAAAGGUGUUAAGAAGUAAAAGUCUGUAAAGUCAAAAAUGAACUGGAUACCAGGAAUGCAGUUUGGACUUUUAGUGGUCAUGACUAUUCUCUCGGGACUGACUCCACUGGGUUUUUGUACCAACUGUAAAUUAAAUGAAACCUGCACUAACAUUGUGUUGUUUGAUGGUGACUAUACUGGACCGGUACCACUGCCAUAUUCUACCUGUAGUAAUCAAUCACGUGUAUCAGAAUCAAACACCUGUGCUUUCUCCUUUGAAGUGGAUGAACUGAUCACCGCCAAUCUUACGUCUCUAGAUGAUCUACUAAAAGCUCCUCCAACAAGCAUUCCAGAAACAGAUUUGGAAGACUUCAGAAAAUAUAUUCUCUUAAUUAAAAGCAAAAAGUGUGAGUAUUCCUAAAGUUUUAUGCUAUAUAUGAAGCAAAGGAAUACAGUGUCUUGCUAAAGUAUUCAUAGCCCUUGAACGUUUUACAUUUUGUCACAUUACAAUAAAAAAAAUAAUAAUAUAUUUUAUUGAGAUUGU
rnacentral:lncRNA from 1 species